rnacentral:rRNA from 1 species
UACGGAGGGGCAAGCGUUGUUCGGAAUUACUGGGCGUAAAGGGCUCGUAGGUGGCCAACUAAGUCAGACGUGAAAUCCCUCGGCUUAACCGGGGAACUGCGUCUGAUACUGGAUAGCUUGAGUUCGGGAGAGGGAUGCGGAAUUCCAGGUGUAGCGGUGAAAUGCGUAGAUAUCUGGAGGAACACCGGUGGCGAAGGCGGCAUCCUGGACCGACACUGACACUGAGGAGCGAAAGCCAGGGGAGCAAACGGG